UGCUAUUUCUUUGCAGACAUUGCCUGACAGUUUUGCUUUCUUGUCAUUGGCUGUCUGAGGAAAAUCUGAGAAGCCCCAGGAGACUGGAGGGAUAAAGCAAAGCCCAAAUUGCCAGUGAGAGAGAAAAGUGAAACCAAACUCAGAAGAAACACGAAGAGAACAAGCUCUUCUAACCUUCCAGUUGAGGCAGCUUUCUGCUCAUCUCUACAGAAUCUCUCCACCGGAUCAGGGAACACCCUGGACAUGGCCUCAGAGAUCCACAUGCCAGCCCCAAAGUGCCUCAUUGAGAACACCAAUGGGCAACUGCGGGUUAAUCCAGAAGCUCUGAAGAUCCUGUCUGCCAUCAGGCAGCCUGUUGUGGUGGUGGCUAUCGUGGGCCCCUACCGCACAGGCAAGUCCUACCUGAUGAACAAGCUGGCCGGGAAGAAAAAGGGCUUCUCUCUGGGCUCCACGGUGCAGUCUCACACGAAGGGCAUCUGGAUGUGGUGUGUGCCUCAUCCCAAGAAGCCAGACCAUACUCUGGUUCUGCUUGAUACCGAGGGCCUGGGGGAUGUGCAGAAGGGUGACAACCAGAAUGACUCCUGGAUCUUUGCCCUAGCAAUACUCUUGAGCAGCACUUUUGUGUACAAUAGUAUGGGAACUAUCAACCAGCAGGCCAUGGACCAACUGCACUAUGUGACAGAGCUGACAGAUAGGAUCAGGGCAAGAUCCUCACCUGAUGUGGAUGAGGUUGAGGAUUCAGCUGACUUUGUGAGCUUCUUUCCAGACUUCGUAUGGACACUGAGGGAUUUCUCCCUAAACUUGGAAGCAGAUGGACAGUCCAUCACAGCAGACGAGUACCUGGAGAAUUCACUCAAGCUUAGGAAAGGUACCAGCCCAAAAGAUAAAACUUUUAAUAUGCCUCGACUCUGUAUCCGAAAGUUCUUCCCAAAGAAGAAAUGCUUCAUCUUUGAUCGGCCCACUGAUAGGAAGAAAUUGGGCCAGCUUGAGGAACUGUGUGACGAUCAGCUGGAUCCCGAAUUUGUGCAACAAGCUGCAGUCUUCUGUUCUUACAUCUUUAGCAAUUCCAAAACUAAAACUCUCUCAGGAGGCAUCAAGGUGGAUGGCCCUCGUCUAGGGACCCUGGUGCAGACCUAUGUCAAUGCCAUCAACAGUGGGGAUCUGCCCUGCAUGGAGAAUGCAGUCCUGGCCUUGGCUGAGAUUGAGAACUCGGCCGCAGUACAAAAGGCCAUUGCCCACUAUGACCAGCAGAUGGGCCAGAAGCUGCAGCUGCCCACAGAAACCCUCCAGGAGCUACUGGAGCUGCACAGGGCCACUGAGAAAGAGACCAUUGAAGUCUUCAUGAGGAGUUCCUUCAAAGAUACAGACCAAUUAUUUCAAAAAGAAUUAGCGGCCCAGCUAGACAAAAAACGAGACGACUUUUGUAAUCAGAAUCGUAAAGCAUCAUCAGAUCGUUGCUCUGCUUUACUGAAGGAUAUUUUCAGUCCUCUAGAAGAAGAUGUGAAACAGGGGAUUUAUUCGAAAUCAGGGGGCUAUCGCCUCUUCAUUGAGAAGAUGCAAGAGUUGAAGAAGAAGUAUCUUCAGGAGCCCAGGAAGGGCACACAGGCUGACGAGAUUCUUCAGGAAUACUUGAAGUCCAAGGAGUCUGUGACUGAUGCAAUUCUACAAACAGACCAGACACUUUCAGAGAAGGAAAAGUUGAUUGAAGUGGAACGCAUGAAAGCUGAAUGUGCACAGGCUGCAGCAAAAAUGCUGGAGGAAAUGCAAAUAAGGAACCAGCAGAUGAUGGAGCAGAAAGAAAAGAGCUAUCAGGAACAUGUGAAACAACUGACUGAGAAGAUGGAGAGGGAGCGGGCCCAGUUACUGGAAGAGCAGGAGAGAACUCUUGCUCUCAAACUGCAGGAACAGUCCCGACUACUACAGGAAGGAUUCCAAGAGGAGCAAAGACGACUUCAAAAUGAAAUACAGAAUCUCCAGAAGAUUAUGAAUAAGCCAAGCCCCUCAUGUGUCCUAAGCUAAAGAAUUAAAGAAUAGAGCUUUCCUGGUAACUCUUAUCAAAGGCAUCACUCAAGAAGUUUAAAACUAAGAAAAGUGUCACCAUGUUUGAUAAUAU
rnacentral:lncRNA from 1 species